rnacentral:rRNA from 1 species
CCCUUAGAUGUCCUGGGCUGCACGCGCGCUACACUGAUGUGUCCAGUAAGCACCUAACCUCUUCCGAAAGGAACGGGUAACCUUUGCAAAGCACAUCGUGAUGGGGAUAGAUUAUUGCAAUUAUUAGUCUUGAACGAGGAAUUCCUAGUAAGCACAAGUCAUCAGCUUGUGUUGAUUACGUCCCUGCCCUUUGUACACACCGCCCGUCGCUCCUACCGAUUGAAUGUUCCGGUGAGCUCUUCGGACUGCGCGGUCUGCAGUUUCUGCGUUCCGUGCGGAAAGUUGCGCAAACCUUAACAUUUAGAGGAAGGAGAAGGCGUAACA